UACGGAGGGUGCAAGCGUUGUCCGGAAUCACUGGGCGUAAAGGGCGUGUAGGCGGCUCAUGAAGGCUGUGGUGAAAGUCCGGGGCUCAACCUCGGAUCGGCCGUGGCGACUCGUGGGCUGGAGCACUGUAGAGGCGGGUGGAAUUCCGGGUGUAGCGGUGGAAUGCGUAGAGAUCCGGAAGAACACCAGUGGCGAAGGCGGCCCGCUGGGCAGUGGCUGACGCUGAGACGCGAAAGCGUGGGGAGCAAACAGG
rnacentral:rRNA from 1 species